ACCGGUUUGUUUCGGAGAAACAAGCUCAGGGCUCCAACUAAUUCAACAUAAUGUUUGAAACAGGACCAAGUGAGCAGAGCUUGGAGCUCUAAAUGAGGACUGAUUCAACAACAGCAGAGUCAGAAGAAAAGCGACGGGUGUCAGCAGAGUGGAGGAAAGAGCAGCGUUGCAUCGUUUGGACUGGAUCCGGGAUUCAGUGAAUGCAUCACAAAAGAAAGACAGAAAAUGGGAGAGUCAUAAACACGCAGUGAAGACAACUGCUCCAGGAAAUUUACUCAAAUUAGGAAUCAGCAUUUUACUACUGGUCAGAACCAUUGCAGCAGAUUUGUUCUCCUCAUUGUUUAGUAAACCUCCUACUGACUGGAUUUAAAGGUUAUUUGCGUCAGUGCGUCCUGAGGUCACAGCUGGAAUGCCACGUUUUGUUCACACAACAACACAUGUGCAACAUUAGCCCCGAUGUUUGACACCCUUCUGUUGUCAUUCUGUCUGCAGCCACAGGUUUCCAGCUUUGUGUCAUAGACGACUCCAGAAAUAACCUUUUGUAUGCAGGAGUAGGUGUGUUGCUUUGUAAACCCGUGGAAAAAUGAAACAUUAUCUCCUCACAGCGGCCUCAGGUUUACUCUACACUCGGCCUGACGCCACAGUCGACAUCCAGCUCUAUUAAUAGGACGUACUUCAACUUCAAAGGAGCUUAAACUGAAUGUCAUCAGUAAAUCAUUUACAAAGCAUUUACAUUUUUGUCAUUUUGCAAAUACUUUAGUCUAAAGUCAUCACCAAGGGAGGAACGUCACUGAGGCUGCAGUUAGGAAAGUCUUUGUUUGCCAGUUCCACCUUCAUGGAGACUCAGAUGAGAACUGUAUGGUUCUUCAUUGAGUAAUUACAUAUCUACAUGUUUUUCUGUAUUGACGAAAAACUAGAUGCACAUCAGCCACAUGGAGAAAAUAACAAUUGGUUAGACAGAAAAUUCUAGUUUGUAUUGCAGCAGGAAUACAAUUGGUGGCAUUCUGCUUCCAUGCCAUCAACAGCAGUUGCUGUAACAGGACGAUUGGAGUUGUACUUUACUUAAAGUUAAAUAUCCCUACAGUGCCUCAAUUUAUCUUUAAUAUAAGGUGAGG